rnacentral:rRNA from 1 species
AGUGAACGCUGGCGGUAUGCCUAACACAUGCAAGUCGAACGGCAGCACAGUAAGAGCUUGCUCUUACGGGUGGCGAGUGGCGGACGGGUGAGGAAUACAUCGGAAUCUACUUUUUCGUGGGGGAUAACGUAGGGAAACUUACGCUAAUACCGCAUACGACCUACGGGUGAAAGCAUGGGAUCUUCGGACCUUGCGCGAUUGAAUUAGCCGAUGUCGGAUUAGCUAGUUGGCGGGGUAAAGGCCCACCAAGGCGACGAUCCGUAGCUGGUCUGAGAGGAUGAUCAGCCACACUGGAACUGAGACACGGUCCAGACUCCUACGGGAGGCAGCAGUGGGGAAUAUUGGACAAUGGGCGCAAGCCUGAUCCAGCCAUACCGCGUGGGUGAAGAAGGCCUUCGGGUUGUAAAGCCCUUUUGUUGGGAAAGAAAAGCAGCAGGUUAAUACCCCGCUGUUCUGACGGUACCCAAAGAAUAAGCACCGGCUAACUUCGUG